UACGUAGGGACCAAGCGUUGUUCGGAUUUACUGGGCGUAAAGGGCGCGUAGGCGGCAUGACAAGUCACUUGUGAAAUCUCUGGGCUUAACCCAGAACGGCCAAGUGAUACUGUCGCGCUAGAGUGCGGAAGGGGCAAUCGGAAUUCUUGGUGUAGCGGUGAAAUGCGCAGAUAUCAGGAAGAACACCCGUGGCUAAGGCGGCUCUCUAGUACGGUACUGACGCUGAGACGCGAAAGCGUGGGGAGCGAACGGG
rnacentral:rRNA from 1 species